rnacentral:lncRNA from 1 species
UGGCAGCAAGGCUUGCAGAGGAGCAUCAUCACAAAGGUGAUUUGUAAGAUAAGCGGACAUGAGUUCCUGGUGCACGUCCGAAUUGAGGGGAUGUAGAGACUAGAAGGAGACAAAGAGAUUUUACACAAUUAUGUUGGACUAUUUAAAAACAUUAGCACUAGGAAUUCACCAUCAAUUAAAAAAAUAUUGUUCAUCCUAGCUUAGUCAUGAUUCUUUAAUU